CAGUCGCCACGGUAAUACGGAGGGUGCAAGCGUUAAUCGGAAUUACUGGGCGUAAAGCGCACGCAGGCGGUCUGACAAGUCAGAUGUGAAAUCCCCGGGCUUAACCUGGGAACUGCAUUUGAAACUGUCAGGCUGGAGUCUUGUAGAGGGGGGUAGAAUUCCAGGUGUAGCGGUGAAAUGCGUAGAGAUCUGGAGGAAUACCGGUGGCGAAGGCGGCCCCCUGGACAAAGACUGACGCUCAGGUGCGAAAGCGUGGGGAGCAAACAGGAUUAGAUACCCCGGUAGUCCCUGUCUCUUAUAA
rnacentral:rRNA from 1 species